UACGUAGGGACCAAGCGUUGUUCGGAUUUACUGGGCGUAAAGGGCGCGUAGGCGGCAUGACAAGUCACUUGUGAAAUCUCCGGGCUUAACUCGGAACGGCCAAGUGAAACUGUCAAGCUAGAGUGCGGAAGGGGCAAUCGGAAUUCUUGGUGUAGCGGUGAAAUGCGUAGAUAUCAAGAGGAACACCUGAGGUGAAGACGGGUUGCUGGGCCGACACUGACGCUGAUGCGCGAAAGCCGGGGGAGCAAACGGG
rnacentral:rRNA from 1 species